CCCCCAGGCCCGGGCGGAGAGCUUUUGAGGAGAGGGGAGACGGGGACCAGAAGGGGAUAGGUUUCGUUGACCUGCUUAAUGCAAACUAAAACCAGUUUUCGAUUGGCGAGUUCCAGAGGACGAGGGCUUCAGCCGGGCCCCAGCACCUUCCCGAAAGAUAAUUGGCCCACCUGCUAUGGGACCUGGAGACCUCCUGCUUACCGCGGUCUACAAGAGCUUUGUAACAGUAAUUUCUGCCCAAAGGAGACUUAAAACAAAAAACAAAAAACAAAAAUCCAAAACGAGUAAAAACUAAAAUGAGCAUUUCUGGCAGAACCCAGUCUGGCUCUGCCCGACAUCAGCUGCCCGAGGAUCUGAAGAUUUGGCUUUUAAGGGUAAUCACCAGUAAGUAACUGGUAAAGCUCUUUGCUGCGUCUCCUCGCGAUGCAAAGUGGUCCCAGUAGCCGGAAGGGAAGGGAAGGAGAGGACAGGACAGGACAGAAAAGAAAUAGGAGUCAGCUUCUCUUCUUUCUCAGAGUGGGGGUCAAGGGGAGGGGGUGAACAGCCUGGUCGAAUCUUGGCGAGACGGCCUUGAGCUUCAGCAGCUUUGCCCUUUUAAUUAGCGCCAACUACCUUCUAUCCGCAGCCCUCGGGCUCCGGUGCUCUUCCCCCUCACCCCGGACUUUUUAGAUGUACCAACUCCAUCCCGGGGCCAGGGUUGGGGUCUUCAAGCCUCGAAGAUCCCAAGACCCAGAGGGACAGAGAAAGGAGCCGUGGUCCCGGCGGGCGGGACCUUCUUGGCCACGCACCGAGGAUUUAGGGGCUUCGCGCUGGAUUGGGAACUCCGAAACCAAAAAGAAGGGAAAGGAUGACCCAGCUGAUUUUAGACCCGGGGAAGAGCUGUGCUAAUUCACUCGCUGGACUUCACCUGCAGUCUGUGCAAGGAGAGAUCGGAGUGAGAUCCGUCUUACUCAGUCUACACUCGGACAAAGGCGUCUCGGAUGGCGCCUGCUGCCCUCACUAGAUUUUCCGGUUCCCCUCGGGCUGCCUCAGAACGUGGUGUGGGGACGGGGGCAGGUGUGAGCCAGAGGGACAUCGCGCUCUCCCAGGUAGCUCUCCGGGCCGAAGCUGUUGGCCGGCACGUGGCAGGAGCUUUCUUCUGGGAGUCGAGCCGAGUGCAGGCUCCUUCUGCGACUCCCUGGGUCAGCCCCUGGCCAAAGGCCGCCACUCUAAAGCCUGUCAGACGGCUCCAAGUUCGGGGACCAGCCAGCCAGUGUGCAGAGGAACUCGCGGGUCCCAGGAGCCUGGCGGGCUCUAUCUCCCAUGGGGGGUAGGAAUGAGCACCGUUGCUUUUGACAUUCACUCUCCUGGUGGGGAUUGUAAAGCUCAGACGCUCCUCCCCUCCCCCCAAGACUGGACGCCCCGUCGGGGCUUCGCAGGGCCGGAUUUCUCUUGGCCCAGUGCAAAUUGUAUCGAGCUGACAAACUGACUAGUCACGAACGGAAUUUAGGGAGAUGAAAACGGAAAGUUGGACCCCUUAUCCCACUUGAGACUUGAUAAUGAUGGUGAUGAUGAUGAUGAUGAUGAUGAUGUUAAGCUCUGCCAGCCUGGCUGGUUAGAAUGAGCCAGCAGCUGAGGGAAGCAAUAAAGGGAGAGGAAAUUUCUGCUCUGCACCCGGGGGGAAUCGUCCUGUUUGGGGAAAUCGUGGAGAAAUCACCGCUCUGGGGACAAUGGUGUAGGCUGGAGAGGGGGGACUGAGGAGAGGUGGACAGGACGCCGGCCCAGACCGAGGCACGCACAGUCAACUGUUUUCCCGAGACAAAGACUGCAGAAACGCAAUGCACAAAGAGAGACAUACAGACAUAAUAAAGUCACACACCCCAAUAGACACAAACACACAGGCGGCGGACACACACAGAGACGUACACUACGAGCCUACGGACGCACAAUGCAGAUACUCCCAGCCAUACAACAGGCACACGUACACACCCCGAAGACACGCGCUACUCCCGACACAAGUUGGCGGAUUGGCACGGGGGCGCCCAAGCAAACUAUCUGCAUACCCCAGACACAGUUGCCACACGUAUACUAGAACUACACAACACGGAGCUUUACAUACGGCGCGGACACACACCCACCACAAACAGGCACACUACAUACAUGCAACGGACACAACAUGCAGACCUCAAAGACACGCCCACACUCAAAAGCACGUUUGAAUUUCUCUCUUGAGAGAUUUCAACGAAGCCAAACCUCUAGGAAAGUCUCUCUCUCUCUGCAACUUGGAAGAGAAGGGUUGGACAGCUCUCCGUGGAGUCCCAGUCUCAUACCCCCAAACCCACUCCACGAGCCCGUCCGCCCAGCUUGCCCUUUAACCUCUGUCCCUUGGGUGUCUUUAUUUUGGGGAAUACGUUCCUAAAUUGCUGCUACCUCCAAGGCUUGCGAAUCCAAACGAAUCGAUUUUCCUUAUAGAUUAAAAAAAAGAAAAGAAAAUGUGUGACAGAGACAGAGAGAGACAGACAGAGAGAGAGAGAGAGAGAGAGAGAAGAGAAUGAGAAUAUGAAUAAUCUUCCCUUUCUCAGACUUAAAAGAAUUAACUUCUAGCUCAGCUUUUAGAAUCAGUCAUAGAAGAAGCUACCGAAGAGAAUCCAUAUCAUAACCGAGAGAGCGCCCUUGGUCUGCAUCCCGACUCUGAUACCUAUUUUAUCCUUGGGAACGAACCUCAGUUUCCUUUCUUUGUAAAAUGGGGCUGUUAUGUGUAAUGCUCAUUUAACAAUGUGACUGUGAGACAAACACAGUCCUAGCUGUCAAGCUUUUGGUAAAUCUUAAAGCGUAAUAGAAAAGCAAGUUAUUGAGACUGAAGUUUUGUCCAAAGAUCGAUAGACCUCCUCUCCAAUCGGGUGGACUAGCCCAAAGCCAGUGGACUGCGUGACUUUCCGAUUCAGAGAACAAUUGAAUUGGACGGGAAUAUUUUAUUUUUACAGCAUUUCGUUUGCCUGCGUUUCUAGAGUAUGGUGGCUCCAUCCAGGAAGCUCCAAGCGCUCUCCAAUUUUUAAUAUCAGAGGAUUUAGAAAAUAAAAUAAAACCAAAAAAGGGGAUCCACACCUGUGGAACUAGAGCUGUAGAGCCCCUGCGGGCUAUCUUCUCCUGCCCUCUGGCUAGGUGCUAGAUUUGAUUGUCUUCCUCCUUCCUCUCCUCACCUGCCCCCUCCUCAGUAGCUAUCCACCUCCAACUUUUCCUAGAGAGCGCAAAGUCAGCUAACCAACGAGCACUCGAGCCUCUCUGCUCUCCCCACUGUGGAAUUUUCUCAGUCUCCAAGACUCAGCGGGUUCUAGCUUGCAUUUGUGUUUAUCGCAGGCAAGACCAAAUGCAUCUCCAGCGGCGCCUUUUAGCUCAGUCUCCCCAGCCAUUCCCGAACCUAGCGGGCUAGGCCAGGUACUCAGGAGCCCGUGCAGGCAAACGAAGUCCCGGCAAGUCUUUGAGGUUAGCUUAGGCUCCCUUGACAGGAAGCGACCUGGGAGACUAACUUUCUCUGUUUCUGUGCAGCUCAACCCAGCUCCCAGAGCACCUCGCAAACGUAACCUCAGCUAAGCUUUCCCAUAUUCUGAGGAGGUGGGCAGGGCAGGGCAGAAAUGAUGUUCCCCAUUUGGCAGUGGGGAAAACUGAGGCCCAGAGGGCACCUGACUUGCUUAAGGUCACAAAUUAGAGAUGGAGCCGGGAAGAGAAUUCAGAUUAACAUAAAAAGUUUCAAGGGACUUGAGAAGUCGUCUGGACCAAGCCUCUCGUUGUACAGAUGAGGAAACAGAGAUCGAGAGAGGUUACCCAGCAGUGAGAGAUUGACAUUAGAACCAGAUCCCUCUGCCAAUAAAUCCAGUACAUUUUCUGCAUUUCUCUCUUGGCUCUUUUUAAAAUAAUAAACAAAGGUAACUUCAAUUGUUGACUGGUCCCCUGGAGAUGUGUGUGUGUGUAUGUGUAUGUGUGUAUUUCCACUUGUCCCUACUUUUCCACGAAAACAUGUAAGGUGCCCCUUUACCUCUCCCGGAAUCAAAAAGAGGCUGGGACGCGAGUGAGUUAUUGUUAAUCCCAGCAUCCCCACCUCAGCCUAGCCUUUGUCUUCCAAGACUCCCAGGAGCCUGGUGAGCAGCCGCAUUGGGCAUCAGAAGAAUUCAGGAGUCCUAGAGUCUAGUAAAGAGAUGAGGGGAUGGUGAGCGCUUUAUCCGUUCCUGUUUAGUGGUUUUGAGGUGUGAUGUACGUAGAGGGAGAUCUGGUCCGGAAGAAGGUCGCCAGAGGCAGGAUAGAAAGUAAUGAGGGGGCCGACUUAUCCUCUCCCCCUUUUCUUCAGCAGACAGUCAUUAACGACGUUGCCUAUCCCAAUGAUCACUGUAGGGUCCGAGACCUCCGAGGCAGAAAGCCCACUAGCCCCAUCCCAUGGAGGUGGGACGUGAAAGCCUGGGGCAGUCCAGUUUCCGGGAGCACAGUGUAGAGAAUCUCGCCUGACCGAGACCCAGAAUCUUCAGCCAAUGGGCAACCUAGCGAGUUGCCAAACGAUCGGGAAAGUGGU
ensembl:lncRNA